CACACACACGCGCGCUACUUAAGAUCAGAAGCAGAAACACUACAAAAGCACCUACCUAACCAUACCACAAAUUUGUAUUUUUUUGAUAAUUCAUACCAAAAAACGCACACACACACACGUUAUAUAAUAAGACAUAUUGUAUACACUUAUACCUUCAGAUAAUUAUUGACUGAAAAGUAGUUAUACACACCCUUAUAUACCACACGCGCGCGCUACUUGGACAAUGUGAAAUCUAAUACCAAAAACAUAAACACCAUGAAAGCAUUCACCUAAUCAUACUAUAAAUUUAUCUUUUUUUAAUAAUUCAUACCAAAAAAUGCACAUAAACAUAAUAUAAUAAAAUGUUUUAUUAUACAUAUUUACACCACUAGACAAUUGUUAAUUGGUCAAUAUUUUUUAAUCAAAUGUUAAAGGUAAAAAAUGGAGGUAGAAAUAGAGGGCACCCUCUAGCCAUAGGUUUCAUAAUUUCUUGCAAGGAAUUCAGUGGCCUUUAUAUUUUUUAGUUGUUGUGGUAGAAAGAAGUGAAAUGACCCACAUAUAAUGAUUUCCAUAUAGUCCUCAUUAAUUAAGGUCCCAUUAACAACAAUGUUCAAAUUUCUACAGCUUUUCUUCUGUAAUAUGAGUAAAAUACAAGCAUGCUCCUUAAAAGCUACGCAGGUCUCUUCAAAUUUUGACUAAUUUUGUUUGUUUCUGUUACAAAAGCUCUCACCUGAAUGUACGGAUCCUUUCAAUUAUUGAUUACAUUGAAUUAUCUUCCACUAAAAUAGAUCUAAUCAAAUAUUUACUUUCUACAUUUUCUUUAAAAUAUUCUUACAAUUCUAUCAUCUCAAAAUAUAUUCAUAUUUAUAUAUUUAUAUAUAUUUUUUGCAUGGCACAUAUGUGCAGAGUUUGUUGUCACUUAAAACAAAUUUCUUGAGUAGAAGAGAACCACAAGCUAGUGCGAACUCUUAUUCUAUUUUAGAAUUCCUGUAUUGGGUUUAAGCUAUUCAUAUGCUAAUUAUUAUUGAGCCAAAACUAAUGAAAGAAAAAUUGAGAAAAACGAGCAGUACUUGGACAUUAAACUCGAAAAUUUUCCAUCCUAGAGCAUUUAUAUUGAUACAAACAGUAGGCUGUAGGCACAAUUCAGGUCCAGCCUACAUGAAGGUUAAGUUGCUUGAAAAUUGAAAUCAAUUGAAGACUUUUUUUCUUGCACACAUUGUCUGAGUUGAUAGGCUUGAUUCUACAUUUUGCAGGUGUUGGAAUAUUGGGCUGGUAGGGGCAUUUGCAGAUCUUGCAUGUGUUAGGAAGAACUUCCUUUUAUUUAUUUAUUUUUUUUCUU
rnacentral:misc_RNA from 1 species